AGAGUUUGAUCAUGGCUCAGAAUGAACGCUGGCGGCGUGCUUAACACAUGCAAGUCGAACGGGACUGUGGGGGCAACUCCGCAGUUUAGUGGCGGACGGGUGAGUAACACGUGGGUAACCUGCCCGGAAGUGGGGAAUACCUCGGGGAAACUCGAGCUAAUACCGCAUGACAUCUUCGGGACGAAAGUCCUGGCGAUCAAAGCGGGGUCGCAAGAUCUCGCGCUACCGGAUGGGCCCGCGCCCGAUUAGCUAGUUGGUGGGGUAACGGCUCACCAAGGCUUCGAUCGGUAACCGGCCUGAGAGGGCGAUCGGUCACACCGGAACUGAGACACGGCCCAGACUCCUACGGGAGGCAGC
rnacentral:rRNA from 1 species